AGGGCCCCCGUUACCUGCCAACGGGCUGCUCUUCGCCGGGUAGAAUUCCAUGAACAAUACCUUAUUUCCUGACUGGCUUCCAGAAGAAUCGUUCAUACCUUAUUUUCUUAGGCUAUUACUGGAUAUUGUUCUUACUUCCAAAGAUUCAGAUGGCUGGUUGGGUAAAAGACCUUGAGCAAAGUUCUGUACUGUGCAUACCAGAUAUGUUGAGGAAUUGAUUUACUCACUGUAAGCAAAGUAACUGCUCUUGGUUGAAGCACUGAAUCCAAUCAGAUGAAGAGUGUCAAAAGGAGUCUACGAAUGAGACACCAAGAUGGCAGUUCCGCUGUUGAUUGAGAGGUUGAGGAAAUGGACUAAUGCAUGAGUGCUGUGAUAUGUCUGUCCAAGAAAAGGAUGUUAAAACAUGGACUCUCGUGUUAUUAAACCAGAGAAGAUCUGGGUUGUGAUCAUCCUGUCAAAAUGGACUUUGCACUUGAAUUAAUCAGGGUACUGUAUCAGUGACUAUCCAAUGAUGGAUCGGUUUGAGGACUGGGUGGCAAAAUUUUACUCUCUGAUUGUGUAUGCAUAACAGGCAAAUUAAUUUCGUAAGAGAUCUGUUGCUACCCCUUUGGAGAAAAUGUAAUGUUUUUUUAAGUGACUUAAUAAAAGGUUUUGGUUUCUUUCACACUUUG